GACGAACGCUGGCGGCGUGCCUAAUACAUGCAAGUUGAGCGAUGAAGAUUGGUGCUUGCACCAAUUUGAAGAGCAGCGAACGGGUGAGUAACGCGUGGGGAAUCUGCCUUUGAGCGGGGGACAACAUUUGGAAACGAAUGCUAAUACCGCAUAAUAACUUUAAACACAAGUUUUAAGUUUGAAAGAUGCAAUUGCAUCACUCAAAGAUGAUCCCGCGUUGUAUUAGCUAGUUGGUGAGGUAAAGGCUCACCAAGGCGAUGAUACAUAGCCGACCUGAGAGGGUGAUCGGCCACAUUGGGACUGAGACACGGCCCAAACUCCUACGGGAGGCAGCAGUAGGGAAUCUUCGGCAAUGGACGAAAGUCUGACCGAGCAACGCCGCGUGAGUGGAGAAGGUUUUCGGAUCGUAAAACUCUGUUGGUAGAGAAGAACGUUGGUGAGAGUGGAAAGCUCAUCAAGUGACGGUAACUACCCAGAAAGGGACGGCUAACUACGUG
rnacentral:rRNA from 1 species